UCGGGAAUUUUGGGCAAUGGGGGAAACCCUGACCCAGCAACGCCGCGUGAAGGAUGAAGUAUUUCGGUAUGUAAACUUCGAAAGAAUAGGAAGAAUAAAUGACGGUACUAUUUAUAAGGUCCGGCUAACUACGUGCCAGCAGCCGCGGUAAUACGUAGGGACCAAGCGUUGUUCGGAUUUACUGGGCGUAAAGGGUGCGUAGGUUGUUUGAUAAGAUAUAUGUGAAAUACCUGGGCUCAACCUGGGAAGGUCAUAUAAGACUGUCAGACUCGAGUAUGGGAGAGGGUAGAGGAAUUUCCGGUGUAGCGGUGAAAUGCGUAGAUAUCGGAAGGAACAUCGGUGGCGAAGGCGUCUACCUGGCCUAAUACUGACACUGAGGCACGAAAGCG
rnacentral:rRNA from 1 species